AACGAACGCUGGCGGCGUGGCUAAGGCAUGCAAGUCGAACGAAUAUAUUCCGAGGGUAACUGAGGGAUAUAUUAGUGGCGAACGGGUGAGGAAUACAUGGACAACGUACCCUGGACUCGGGGAUAGCGGCGGGCCGCAAGGCUCUUUAGCGAAAGUGCCGGUAAUACCCGAUGAUCUCGCUGGAUCGCAUGAUCUGGCGGGCAAAGCUCCGACGGUCUAGGAUCGGUUCAUGUCCUAUCAGCUAGUUGGUGAGGUAACGGCUCACCAAGGCAACGACGGGUACCGGGCGUGAGAGCGUGACCCGGCACAUCGGAACUGAGAUACGGUCCGGACACCUACGGGAGGCAG
rnacentral:rRNA from 1 species